rnacentral:rRNA from 1 species
CAAGCGGAUCUCUUAAAGCUGUUCUCAGUUCGGACUGCAGUCUGCAACUCGACUGCACGAAGCUGGAAUCGCUAGUAAUCGCGGAUCAGCAACGCCGCGGUGAAUGCGUCCCGGGCCUUGUACAUACCGCCCGUCACACCAUGGGAGCCGGUAAUACCCGAAGUCAGUAGUCCAACCUCGUGAGGACGCUGCCGAAGGUAGGAUUGGCGACUGGGGUGAAGUCGUAACAAGGUACC